UACGUAGGGUGCGAGCGUUAAUCGGAAUUACUGGGCGUAAAGCGUGCGCAGGCGGUUUUGUAAGCCAAAUGUGAAAUCCCCGGGCUCAACCUGGGAAUGGCAUUUGGGACUGCAAGGCUGGAGUGCGGCAGAGGAGACUGGAAUUCCUGGUGUAGCAGUGAAAUGCGUAGAUAUCAGGAGGAAUACCGAUGGCGAAGGCAGGUCUCUGGGCUGACACUGACGCUCAUGCACGAAAGCGUGGGGAGCAAACAGG
rnacentral:rRNA from 1 species